GAUGAAGAACGCAGUGAAAUGCGAUAAGUAAUGCGAAUUGCAGAAUUUCCGUGAGUCAUCGAAUCUUUGAACGCACAUUGCGCCCACUGGUAUUCCGGUGGGCAUGCCUGUUCGAGCGUCAUUAUCCUCCCUCAAACCCCGGGUUUGGUGUUGGACCCAAGUUGUGUGUACAACUGGUCUUAAAGACAAUGACGGCGUCCGUGGGACCCUCGGUGCAACGAGCUUUUAGGAGCACGCAUCGAGUUGCAAGGACCUUCCGGGCCGGUCUCCUUUACUAUUUUACAAGGUUGACCUCGGAUCAGGUAGGAAUACCCGCUGAACUUAAGCAUAUCAAUAAGCGGAGGA
rnacentral:misc_RNA from 1 species